rnacentral:rRNA from 1 species
AUUGAACGCUGGCGGCAGGCUUAACACAUGCAAGUCGAACGGCAGCACGGGAGCAAUCCUGGUGGCGAGUGGCGAACGGGUGAGUAAUAUAUCGGAACGUGCCCAGUCGUGGGGGAUAACGUAGCGAAAGCUACGCUAAUACCGCAUACGAUCUAUGGAUGAAAGCGGGGGAUCGCAAGACCUCGCGCGAUUGGAGCGGCCGAUAUCAGAUUAGGUAGUUGGUGAGGUAAAGGCUCACCAAGCCGACGAUCUGUAGCUGGUCUGAGAGGACGACCAGCCACACUGGGACUGAGACACGGCCCAGACUCCUACGGGAGGCAGCAGUGGGGAAUUUUGGACAAUGGGCGCAAGCCUGAUCCAGCAAUGCCGCGUGCAGGAUGAAGGCCUUCGGGUUGUAAACUGCUUUUGUAUGGAACGAAACGGCGAGCUCUAAUACAGUUUGCUAAUGACGGUACCGUAAGAAUAAGCACCGGCUAACUACGUGCCAGCAGCCGCCGUAA